rnacentral:rRNA from 1 species
CUUAGGUAACACUAAGUGGAGGUCCGAACCGACUGAUGUUGAAAAAUCAGCGGAUGAGCUGUGAUUAGGGGUGAAAUGCCAAUCGAAUCCGGAGCUAGCUGGUUCUCCCCGAAAUGCGUUUUGGCGCAGCGAUUAAUAUUAUAACUUAGGGGUAAAGCACUGUUUCGGUGCGGGCUGUGAAAACGGUACCAAAUCAAGGCAAACUCUGAAUACUAAGUGUACAGUUAAUCAGUGAGACAGUGGGGGAUAAGCUUCAUUGUCGAAAGGGAAACAGCCCAGAUCACCAGCUAAGGCCCCUCAAUAUUUACUAAGUGGCAAAGGAAGUGGGAAUGCAUAGACAACCAGGAGGUUUGCUUAGAAGCAGCAAUCCUUUAAAGAAUGCGUAAUAGCUCACUGGUCAAGUGAUCCUGCGCCGAAAAUGAACGGGACUAAGUAUUUUGCCGAAGCUGUGAGAUGUUUUAACAUCGGUAGGGGAGCGUUCUGUGUAAGAUUGAAGCAUUAGCGUAAGCGGAUGUUGACAAAGCAGAAGUGAGAAUGUCGGCUUGAGUAGCGAAAACAUUGGUGGGAAUCCAAUGCCCCGAAAACCUAAGGAUUCCUCUGGAAGGUUCGUCCACGGAGGGUAAGUCAGGGCCUAAGGCGAGGCUGAAGAGCGUAGUCGAUGGAUAACAGGUUAAUAUUCCUGUACUAUUUAUAGUUGAUAACGAGGGACGGAGAAAGCUAAGUUAGCCGGAUGUUGGUUAUCGGUUUAAACUUUCAAUACGAUGAAGAAUGGCGAAAACAUUCUGAGUAAAGAAGUGAGUACAAAGUACUAAGGUGCUAAAGUAACUAAUGUUAUACUUCCUAGAAAAGCUCGAUCUAUCUUAAACUAUAAAUACCUGUACCCGAAACCGACACAGGUAGGUAGGUAGAGUAUACCAAGGGGCGCGAGAUAACUCUCUCUAAGGAACUCGGCAAAAUAACCCCGUAACUUCGGAAGAAGGGGUGCCCUUUGAAUAGGGUUGCAAUAACCAGGCCCAAGCGACUGUUUAUCAAAAACACAGGUCUCCGCUAAGUCGUAAGACAAUGUAUGGGGGCUGACGCCUGCCCAGUGCCGGAAGGUUAAAGAAGUUGGUUAACAUUAUUGUAAAGCUAACAACUGAAGCCCCGGUGAACGGCGGCCGUAACAAUAACGGUCCUAAGGUAGCGAAAUUCCUUGUCGGGUAAGUUCCGACCCGCACGAAAGGCGUAACGAUUUGGGCACUGUCUCAGAGAGAGACUCGGCGAAAUAGACUUGUCUGUGAAGAUGCGGACUACCUGCACCUGGACAGAAAGACCCUAUGAAGCUUUACUGUAACUUGGAAUUGGGUUUGGGUUUUUCUUGCGCAGCAUAGGUGGGAGGCUGAGAAAAUAAAUUUGUGGAUUUAUUAGAGCCGUUAGUGAGAUACCACUCUGGAAAAACUAGAAUUCUAACCUUGAAAGCCGUUAACCGGCCAAGGAACAGUUUCAGGCGGGCAGUUUGACUGGGGCGGUCGCCUCCUAAAAGGUAACGGAGGCGUACAAAGGUUUCCUCAGGCUGGUUGGAAAUCAGUCGUAGAGUGUAAAGGUAUAAGGAAGCUUGACUGUAAGACUUACAAGUCGAGCAGAGACGAAAGUCGGUCUUAGUGAUCCGACAGUGCCGAGUGGAAGGGCUGUCGCUCAACGGAUAAAAGUUA